GCCUUGGUGGUGAAAUGGUAGACACGCGAGACUCAAAAUCUCGUGCUAAAGAGCGUGGAGGCUCGAAGUCACGACUCCUAC
rnacentral:tRNA from 1 species